AACACGGUCAUGGGCUGAAUGACCCAAGUAACACACUUGGCUCACUGCUCAGCUCGUCAAAGAGAUGGGCACUCCUGGGCUUCUUCUUCAUGGACUCGUAAGUGGUAACCAUUAGGAUUCUCGGACAAUUUCAGAGCACUUUCCUGGUGGGGCCAUUGGCUUUACGUGACCCUCUCACCCCCCAUUAGCCUUCUUGAUGAAGCUGGGAGACCUCGAUCACUGUGCUCUUUCUAUAUAUCGUCCUCUUUUCGGUUGGAACUAUCAUCUUUUUCCGCUCUGUUCUUCUAAAAUCUCGUAGCUUCCUUUUGUUCUUGAGCUUGGCUAAAGACUGGAGUCUGGAGAGCUGGUAUUUUGCUUUAGCUGCCAAUAUUGAGUUAUUAACUCUUGCAUUAAGAUCACACUACAGAAAUGUCUUUAGGCGUCAUUUGAAUAUCUGUGAAUUUCACAUGAUGAGUUAUUUGAAUUAAAUAUCAUGUUACACAUCUAUCCAAAUGAAGUUGAGUUUUUCAUAAGAGAAUUACGAAAAUUGCAAAACUUUAUUUGUCUGGGAAUUCUGUUUUAUGAACAUUCAAUUGAUCAAUUCUAGCUUUGUUUGAUUUGACGAUGUAUCUUUAUUAUCUGGGUUAUGAUUGUUCAUGGUUUAUGUUUUCUUGCAAUCUUUUUUCCUUUUCCUUUCAUUGUGGAAGUUAUGAAAGUCAGGCGUUCAUGAUACUGCUGUUUCCACCUUAGUUUUAGUAAAUAACCUUUUCUGUUGAUGGAAUAUGAUUGGAUUUGUGGAUAUGGUCUUUUGAAUAUGGUUCCAAUAGGAUUUUAUUUUGGGGAAAUGUCUAAAAAAAUCCCGAACUUUGCACUUUUUAACAAUUGUACCCUUAACAUUUUUCUUUGAUAAAAAUACCUUAUACUAAUGACUUUUUUAUAAUUGUCUAACAAAUAAAAACCCUAAAUAGAGUUGUCUCACCUAUCUGCAUUUCUAAUACUUGCACUACACUUUACUUCUUUUGUCUCUAUAUCUGUUUUUUAAGUUUAAAUAUUACUCUAAUUAGAGUUUUUUUUUUUUUUAAUUUGGGGGUUUUUAUACUAAAAAUGGAUUUCUCCGUAAAUUUUUAACAGGAAUAUGAACGGAACAAUUUAUUUGUAUAGGUAUUUUUAUCAAAAAAAAAAAAAAAGUUAAUGGUACAAUUGUAAAAAGUUCAAAGUUUGGCAUUAUCCCUUUUAUUUUACCAUCUAGGGGCAGGUGGCAUUGCCAUUCCAAAUCCAAAGUGUAGUAUUUGGGAGAUUGUGUUCUUACACCACUAUUUAUGUGUCUCAACAUUGUGAAGAUUUGGAAAAAUCAUAUUGAAUUGGCAGAGAGCAAUCACAAAAAAAAAAGCAUGCUCUAAACAAAUUGUCAAGUGUCCACAUAUAAGGCAAAUUGUCAUAUAUUAAGACCAUAAUGAAUUCAACUUAUUCAUCAUUAUGGAUAAUAUUGUUACGUAUAGGACGUCUAGGUGGAGGAAGAAAAGAGUGAUGGAAGAUACUGCAGAAGUUGACUCUUAGACUCUUAUUAAGAAGCAGAAGAUUGAUAAGGUUAUGGAGGGAAAAAUAAGUCGGUCAGUGAGUUGUUAGAUUUGGAGGGAAAAGUUAGAGAAUCUAUUGUAAUUCAGUUGUGUGUGUGUGUGUGACAGUUAUUGGUGAUUAGAUUGUAUAGAAGGGAAGAGGAAGCACCUGUGUUUUCAAUAACAAUCUGUUACAUUCUCUCUUCUGUUCUUCUCUAUUCUGUUCCACUAUUCUCUCUUUUUUUUCCCUUCUUUCUCUAUCUUCUUCCUUUCUCUUUUCUACUGCUCUUUUUAGUUUCUGUAACAAAUAUGUGCAAUCAAAUUUAUUUGUUAGGUUUUUUAUGUAUUGUCUUUGUUUCCCUGUGGGUUUCCUAGCAGAAAGUAAAGGAACCAAAAGGUGUUUUUGGAUAGAAUGGGCUGCAUUUGGGUUCACAUAAAAAAUAAGUAUUCAUUCAGGCAGAGACUUAUGCACAAAUUCAAAUCUGCUUGCUAUUUUAAGAUGCUGAGAAAUGAGGAUUGGUAAAUCUAGUUCUGCAUGUCUCUAAGUUGGUAGUUGCAUCUCUUUUUAUUUUUUGUGAAAAAUAUUUUGUGGAAAAAAAUAUUUUCCAAUACGAUAAUUUAUUUUUCAUUAUUAUAUUUUAAUUUAAAAAUAAAAUAUAUUAAUGAAUUUAUAUAUAAAAAUCUUAAUAAGAUUCUCAAAAUACCGAAAAUGACUUUUUAUUUUAAAUAAAAGAAGUCAUUUUUCUUAAAAUAACUUAAUUUUUCCUUUGAUCAGGAAAAUAUUUUGCAUCGACUAAUUUUUCUAGAUAUUCCAAAUAUCAGAAAAUGAGGAAAAUAUUUUUCAAAUAUUUUACGGGAAACAAAGUUGGCUUAAUCACUACUAGUUUAACUUUCUAGGUCUACAUAAUAUUGUUUUGCUUGAAAUGCAGGGAAAUGAGGCUAAAACAAGAAGAAUAUUGCUUUUUAUGUGGAACUUGAUUUUGAGGCUAAAUUAAUUAGUGUAGUUGCAUUCUCUUGUAAUGACCUGAUUUUGAGGCUAAAUUAAUAGGUGUAGUUGUUUUCUCUUGUCUCAUUUUGUUGCCUAUCUAAACUGAAUUCUUGAAAAAGAGAAGCAAAAUGAAUGGGAAUGGACAAAAGUUGCUAGCUGGUUUCAAGGAUUGAAAUCAGAGAAACAACUACAAGCAAUUGGAGUAGUUAAAAGGACGAAAAUAGCACUUUGGGGAGAGAUGAUCUAUGUUAACAAAAGAAGAAUAUCAACAACAAAUUGUUGUUAUUAAUAAAUAAUGCAUGUAGACAAAAUAGAAUAAGCAAUGUGAAGAAAGAACUUUCAACAAUAGGAGAAACAAGAAAGAAGACAAAAAAAUGUAUGAUGUACAAAUAUGAUAUUUUUUUUAAAUCAUACAUAAUUAAAAAAUUAUUUAUCAAAUAAUGCAGAAUCCGAAAAUAUUUUUGAAUUUUGUGUCAAAAAAGCAUGUUCGGCACACGGGAGCAUAUUGUUCGAAUGGUGUCGAACAAUGAGGUCCCUACUACAGGAGCUCACUGAACUGUUUCCGUGGUGGCAAACAUGGCAUGUUCGGCACCUAGGUGCAGUGAUUCUCUGCACCCUUGACAAAGAAGUGAAGGUGAAGGUCAAUCACCUCAAAAAAGUGUCUGGCACUUAUAGUGUUGGAUACUUUUCAUGCAUGCAGGCUCGUGUGGCACUUGCAUGCACCCACACAGCUCCUUACUCUGCUCGCUGAGCAGAGUAAGGUGGAGACUUUGGCUCUCUUUCCCAUCUCCCCAUUUCCCUAUUUCUUCCUUUCUCUCCACCUCCCUCCUCAGCACACUUUUUCCUUUCCAUCAUCUCCCUCUUUACCAUUUUACAGCAUCUCCUUCAGCACCUUCCUCUCUUUUUAACAGAUUUGUCUAUGACUCAAAUUCUUUUUUUAUUUUUUAAAU